UACAGAGGUCCCAAGCGUUGUUCGGAUUCAUUGGGCGUAAAGGGUGUGUAGGUGGCGCCGUAAGUCGGGUGUGAAAUCUCGGGGCUUAACUCCGAAACUGCAUUCGAUACUGCGGUGCUUGAGGACUGGAGAGGAGACUGGAAUUCAUGGUGUAGCAGUGAAAUGCGUAGAGAUCAUGAGGAAGACCAGUGGCGAAGGCGGGUCUCUGGACAGUUCCUGACACUGAGACACGGAGGCCAGGGGAGCAAACGGG
rnacentral:rRNA from 1 species